CCUAAGCCGUAUGGACGAGGGCAUAAGUCGGUGGAUCGACCAUCGCGGCCCGAUGACGCCGAUGCAUACGCGAGUCUAGCAGUAAGUCGGAGCUGUAGCAAUCCGACGGCUGCUACAACCUACCUGGUGGAUGGCUCGGCUCGGGCGCUGACGAAGCGACUCGCCGAUCGCGAGGAGUAACCCGCUGAACUGAAACAUCUCAGUAAGCGGAGGAAAAGAAAUCAACCGAGAUGCCGUUAGUACAGGCGAUAGAACGCGGUAUAGGGCAAACCGAAUCCGACGGGAGAUCCGUUGGAAAUGUGGUGUGAGGCCCCCGGUACACCCCAUCUGACGAACGAGAAGUCUUCUGGAACGGAGCGCCGAAGAGGGUGAAAGCCCCGUACCGGUAACUCAGAGGGUGAUUCCGGGGAGACCCGAGUAGCAUGCGUUAGAAAUCGCGUGUGAAGGCGGGGGGCAUCAACCUCCAACCCUGAACACGACCCGAGACCGAUAGCGUAGUAGUACCGUGAGGAAACGUUGAAAAGUACCCCUGACGGGAGGUGCAAAGACCUGAAUGCAGGUAGGGACAAGUAUGCGGUGCGUGCAAGCGACGAAGCCGCUCAGCGGUGGAGCAGCGUUCCGCGGUACUUUUUGAAAAAAGGACCAGGGAGUUCUGUCCAAUGGCGAGGUUAACCGUGUUAAGCGGGUAGCCGUAGGGAAACCGACCGGUCGCAGCACCCUUCGGGGUGUGAGGGCCGCGGUGUGUUCGCCGGGAGUCAUUGGAGGGAGACCCGAAAGGAGUUGAUCUAUGCCGGGGCAGGAUGAAGCCCCACGAAAGUGGGGUGGAAGUCCCAACCCAUGAUGUCGUACAAAACUCUGGGAUGACCCCGGUAUAGGGGCGAAAGACCAAUCGAAACUCCUGAUAGCUGGUUCCUCUCGAGACUGGCCGAAGCCAGACCUCACCCGAGGUGGAUCGCAGGGUAGAGUGACUUAUUGGGGGGUUAGGGGCCGAAAGGCCUCGCCCCGCUCUAAAACUCCGAACUUGUGAUCGCCGUUGACGGUGGGCAGUGAGGCGUUCUGGGGUAAGCCUGAACGUCGAAAGGAGAACAAUCCAGCCUAAGGUUAAGGUCCCAAAGUACCGGUUCAGUGUUAAAGUUUGAAGGGAGUCCGUGGUCGAAGACAGCCAGAAGGUAUGCUUAGAAGCAGCAACCCUCUAAGGAAAUCGUAACAGAUCACUGGUCGAGAUCGCGGGCCCCUAAAAUGGACGGGGCUAAACCGGUCACCGAUACCUUGGGGCGCCCUUCGCGGGUGAUCCAAUAGAGAGGUAUCGUGCGCGGACAGAAGCAUGGGCGUGAGCUCGUGUGGACCGCGUUCGAACAAGAAUCCUGGUAAAAGUAGCAGCGUAGAGCGGUGAGAAUCCGUUCCGCCGUAGGGGCUAGGUUUCCUCGACGAUGUUCAUCAGUCGAGGGUUAGUCGGUCCUAAUUGAGCUCUUAACCGACGCUCAAGAAUGGGAAACUGGUUAAUAUUCCAGUACCGAUCUCGGCCCUGUCUUACCCUUGACACAUCGGGGUAAGGGAACCACAAUUUCCGUUGUGGCGAAGUGCAUAAAUCUCUGGAGAGCCGUAAUGGCGAGAAGGAGAAGAACCCACGAUAGGGCUGCCCUCGGGCGGCUUUCCCCGAACCGGGUGUCCGUGAAAAUCAGGUAAGAGUCACCGAGAUCGUCCGUACCGAGAACCGACACAGGUGCCCCUGGAUGAGCAGUCCAAGGCGUAUCGGAUGCAACGCAGCCAAGGGAAUUCGGCAAACUGGCCCCGUAACCUCGGAAUAAGGGGUGCCAGCCCAGUUAUGGGCUGGUCGCAGUGGCCAGGGGGCCCCGACUGUUUAAUAAAAACAUAGUGGGCUGCUAGCCCGAAAGGGUUUGUAUAGCCCAUGAGUCCUGCCCAGUGCGGGCACCUGAACACCUGGUACAACAGGACGAAGGGCCCGUAGACGGCGGGGGUAACUAUGACCCUCUUAAGGUAGCGUAAUACCUUGUCGCAUAAUUGGCGACUUGCAUGAAUGGAGCAACGAGGGCCCCACUGUCCCUGGCUGCAGUCCGGCGAAAUUACUAUAUCGGCGCAACAGGCCGAUCUGUUCCUAAGGGAAGCGAAGACCCUGUAGAGCUUUACUGCAGCCUGCGGCUGCUCUAUGGGCCUUGGUGUGCAGAGUAGGUAGGAGGCAUUGAUCCCCGCGCGCUAGCGUGGGGGGAGCCGUCCAUGAGACACUACCCCCCGAGGACCGUAGGGCUAACUCCUUCGGGAGAACACCCGUAGGUGGGCAGUUUGGGUGGGGCGCCACGCGCUCGAAACGUUAACAAGCGCGCCCAAAGGCAGUCUCAGUCCGGUCAGGACUCGGACGUAGAGUGUAAGGGCAAAAGACUGCUUGACGCCGAUCCGCAUCAUGAGGGUCGGCGAAGAGAAAUCUGGGCCUAACGAACCUCUGAAGCCCAUUGGUGAGGCUCAGAGAUGUCAGAAAAGUUACCUCAGGGAUAACUGGGUUGUCUCCAGCAAGAGCCCAUAUCGACCUGGAGGCUUGCUACUUCGAUGUCGGUUCCCCCUAUCCUGGUGGUGCAGCAGCUGCCAAGGGUGGGGUUGUUCGCCCAUUAAAAGGGGUCGUGAGCUGGGUUUAGACCGUCGUGAGACAGGUUUGUUGCUAUCUUUAGGAACCGUUGCUGGCUGAGGGGAAGAGGCCUUCAGUACGAGAGGAACGAGGCUUCGGCGCCACUGGUGCACCUGUUGUCCGGAAGGGCAUUGCAGGGCAGCUACGCGCCAAGGGGUAAGGGCUGAAAGCAUCUAAGCCCGAAACCCACCUCAAGACGAGCCAGUGGAGCGCCCGCACAAGACGGGCUUGAUAGGGACGGGGUGUAAGCAUCGAGCGUUCGCGAGGUGUUCAGCCCGCGUCUACUAACGUUCUGUUGCCGUCG
rnacentral:rRNA from 1 species